CCCCCCCUAAUUUUUGCAAGGCGAGCCAGAAAGUGUAUCAAUACACUUGUAAAGCGGCGAACGGGUGAGGAAUACAUGGGUAAUCUACCAUCGAGUGGGGAAUAACCAACCGAAAGGUUGGCUAAUACCGCGUACGCCUCCGAGUCUUCGGGUUCGGAGGGAAAGCUGCACUGUGAGUGUAGCGCUCUUUGAUGAGCUCAUGUCCUAUCAGCUUGUUGGUAGGGUAAUGGCCUACCAAGGCUUUGACGGGUAGCUGGUCUGAGAGGACGAUCAGCCACACUUGGCACUGCGACACGGGCCAGACUCCUACGGGAGGCAGCAGUAAGGAAUAUUGCGCAAUGGGCGAAAGCCUGACGCAGCGACGCCGCGUGGGGGAUGAAGGUCUUCGGAUUGUAAACCCCUUUCGGGAGGGAAGAUGGAGCGAGCAAUCGUUCGGACGGUACCCUCCAGAAGCAGCCCACGGCCCAACUUCGUGCCAGCAGCCGCGGUAAUACGAAGGGUGGCCAGGCGUUGUUCGGAUUCACUGGGCCGUACAGGGUGUGUAGGCGGUUUGGUAAGCCUUUUGUAAAGCUUCGGGCCCAACCC
rnacentral:rRNA from 1 species